UUCUUAUAUCGAUUCAUGGAAUAAUUUAUCGAAUGAGUACUAUUUAUAAUAUACUCCAUAUACCAAUCACUAAUGCUAAAAUUCAUGUUGCAACUCAUUAAAACUAUUGUCAACGUUAUUUUGGGGGAUAAGAGGAACAAUUAAUUUGCGAAGCAUUUAUGUUUGUAUUGCCAGAGCCUGAAGAAAUUGAGGAGAGUAAACGUGAAGGAUCUAUGGGUAGAGAUGCUGAGCUUGCGCAUCUAGCAACAUAAAAGAGGCCGUCUUUAAUUAAAGCUUGAGAAGAGAGUGAGAAGUCAAAAGAAGAAAACAAGAGUCCUAAGUCUCCCUUACGCCAUGGCAGCUCUGAGAUAGUAGUACCCAUGCCUUCAACGCGAGGUGAACAAAUAACAAAUACGCAUUGCUGAAAGAAAUAGCAAAUCAAGGCUUUUGGGCGUUAUGAGAUCUAGUUUUAAACUUAUCUUGUCAUAUGUGCAGCUGCCGACGGAUCAAGUCAUUGGUCUUCUAAGCAAAAUUUUAAACGGUU